AACUAACAAGGAUUCCCCUAGUAACUGCGAGUGAAGCGGGAAAAGCUCAAAUUUAAAAUCUGGCGGUCUUUGACUGUCCGAGUUGUAAUCUAGAGAAGCAUUAUCCGCGCUGGACCGUGUACAAGUCUCCUGGAAUGGAGCGUCAUAGAGGGUGAGAAUCCCGUCUUUGACACGGACUGCCAGGGCUUUGUGAUGUGCUCUCAAAGAGUCGAGUUGUUUGGGAAUGCAGCUCAAAAUGGGUGGUAAAUUCCAUCUAAAGCUAAAUAUUGGCGAGAGACCGAUAGCGAACAAGUACCGUGAGGGAAAGAUGAAAAGAACUUUGGAAAGAGAGUUAAACAGUACGUGAAAUUGCUGAAAGGGAAACGCUUGAAGUCAGUCGCGUUGGCCAGGGAUCAACCUCGCUUUUUUGCUUGGCUUACUUCCUGGUUAAUGGGUCAGCAUCAAUUUUGACUGGUGGAAAAAGUUCAAGGGAAUGUGGCAUCUUCGGAUGUGUUAUAGCCUUUGCUCGCAUACAUCAGUUGGGAUUGAGGAACUCAGCACGCCGCAAGGCCGGGUUUUUAACCACGUACGUGCUUAGGAUGCUGGCAUAAUGGCUUUAAUCGACCCGUCUUGAAACACGGACCAAGGAGUCUAACAUGCCUGCGAGUGUUUGGGUGGAAAACCCGAGCGCGUAAUGAAAGUGAAAGUUGAGAUCCCUGUCGUGGGGAGCAUCGACGCCCGGAUCUGACCUUUUGUGACGAUUCCGCGGUAGAGCAUGUAUGUUGGGACCCGAAAGAUGGUGAACUAUGCCUGAAUAGGGUGAAGCCAGAGGAAACUCUGGUGGAGGCUCGUAGCGAUUCUGACGUGCAAAUCGAUCGUCAAAUUUGGGUAUAGGGGCGAAAGACUAAUCGAACCAUCUAGUAGCUGGUC
rnacentral:rRNA from 1 species